rnacentral:rRNA from 1 species
UACGAAGGGGGCUAGCGUUGCUCGGAAUCACUGGGCGUAAAGGGCGCGUAGGCGGCCUGAUCAGUCGGGGGUGAAAGCCUGUGGCUCAACCACAGAAUGGCCUCGAUACUGUCGGGCUUGAGACCGGAAGAGGUAAGUGGAACUGCGAGUGUAGAGGUGAAAUUCGUAGAUAUUCGCAAGAACACCAGUGGCGAAGGCGGCUUACUGGUCCGGAUCUGACGCUGAGGCGCGGAAAGCGUGGGGGA